GAUGAACGCUGGCGGUGUGCCUAAUACAUGCAAGUCGAGCGAACAGACGAGGAGCUUACUCCUCUGACGUUAGCGGCGGACGGGUGAGUAACACGUGGAUAACCUACCUAUAAGACUGGGAUAACUUCGGGAAACCGGAUCUAAUACCGGAUAACAUGUUGAACCGCAUGGUUCAACAGUGAAAGACGGUCUUGCUGUCACUUAUAGAUGGAUCCGCGUCGCAUUAGCUAGUUGGUAAGGUAACGGCUUACCAAGGCAACGAUGCGUAGCCGACCUGAGAGGGUGAUCGGCCACACUGGAACUGAGACACGGUCCAGACUCCUACGGGAGGCAGCAGUAGGGAAUCUUCCGCAAUGGGCGAAAGCCUGACGGAGCAACGCCGCGUGAGUGAAGAAGGUCUUCGGAUCGUAAACCUCUGUUAUUAGGGAAGAACAAAUGUGUAAGUAACUAUGGACGUCUUGACGGUACCUAAUCAGAAAGCAACGGCUAACUACGUG
rnacentral:rRNA from 1 species